CUAACACCACAAGCCCCAACUGGUUUUCCUGGGAACUGCCAUACUGCAGUGCAGCAUCCUGGCACCAUGACCAUUGUGACGCUGCUGCUGGGGACAAGCUGGUGCCUUUGUCUUUCGUGGCUCAGUGAGCAAGCUGAAGACUUCAGGUACAGCCACCAGCAUCCUUCCUUUUGGAGCAGGUCAUCCCUGGUCACAAAGCCAGGCUGCUCCUUCCCAAGAGCAGUGUGUGGAAUAAAUGAGCACAAGCAGAGUGGUGCAUACGAAAGGGGGGCAGAGCCCAUCCUGAGCCUCUGUAAAGCCACUCUCUAUGCUGAGGGCCUCUGAGUCAGCUGUAACCUCCCAGGAAUCGGGUCCUUUUGUGACAAGUGAAUGAGGACCUCUGCUCAAGAGCCCAGCAGUGACUGGAAAGGUAUCAGCUGCUGCUGGAGACAGGACCUGGGCAAGACCAACCUUUUGGCUAGUCCACCCAUUCUCAUGCAAGGCAAAGUUCAUACCCUGAGGUGUAACACAACAUUGAAAACAGCAGGAUCUCAUGUGUCACCAUCACCGUAGGUCCCACAGGGUGACACCCAUCCUGCAUGGGCGGUCUGGGAGGCAAAGCUGCAGGGUGCUCAGCAUGCUUUUACCCAGGUCUCUGCCUUCAUUUCAUGGUGUUGCAGGUCAACAGAGCAAGUGAAGCCCAGGAACAAGCUGCUCACAUGGAUCCCUGUUCAUGCUCUGAUGCUGUGUUCAGGUGAAGUGGGGCAGCUUUGGGGAUGAACAACACCUCAGUGCGGUGUUACCUGGAAUUUUAAGAUGAGCUAAAUCAAGCUCCAUGGUCAA